AGCGAACGCUGGCGGCAGGCUUAACACAUGCAAGUCGAACGGGCGUAGCAAUACGUCAGUGGCAGACGGGUGAGUAACGCGUGGGAACGUGCCUUUUGGUUCGGAACAACCCAGGGAAACUUGGGCUAAUACCGGAUAAGCCCUUACGGGGAAAGAUUUAUCGCCAAAAGAUCGGCCCGCGUCUGAUUAGCUAGUCGGUGAGGUAAUGGCUCACCAAGGCGACGAUCAGUAGCUGGUCUGAGAGGAUGAUCAGCCACACUGGGACUGAGACACGGCCCAGACUCCUACGGGAGGCAGCAGUGGGGAAUAUUGGACAAUGGGCGCAAGCCUGAUCCAGCCAUGCCGCGUGAGUGAUGAAGGCCCUAGGGUUGUAAAGCUCUUUUGUGCGGGAAGAUAAUGACGGUACCGCAAGAAUAAGCCCCGGCUAACUCCGUGCCAGCAGCCGCGGUAACAC
rnacentral:rRNA from 1 species